GAACAAGUUAAUUUUACUAAACCCAUCCCUGAUGACCCUGUAGUUGGGAUUAUUGGUGGUGGAAUGUCUGGCCUUACUUGUGCUCUUUAUUUGGAGAAAAGAGGCAUUCGUUCAACCGUUUUCGACACGGGAAUACAUGGGUUGGGAGGAAGAAUGGGAACAAGAAUGAUUGAUCAUCAGCCUUUGAUAUUUGACCAUGCAGCUCAGUUCUUCACAGUGACAAACCCCAAGUUUGCUGAGCUAGUUGAUGACUGGUUGAAGAGAGGUCUGGUUCGUGAAUGGAAGGGUACAAUUGGUGAGCUUGAAGUUGGUGGGAAUUUUGUCCCAUUUCCUUCUUCACCUCCUAAAUAUAUAGGGGUCAA
rnacentral:misc_RNA from 1 species